AUUGAACGCUGGCGGUGUGCUUAACACAUGCAAGUCGAACGGUAACGGACCGCUGUGAUCCCUUCGGGGUGAACUUGGUGCCGACGAGUGGCGGACGGGUGAGUAAUGCUUAGGAAUCUGCCCAGUAGUGGGGGACAACACGAGGAAACUCGUGCUAAUACCGCAUACGCCCUAAGGGGGAAAGUGGAGGAUCUUCGGACUUCACGCUAUUGGAUGAGCCUAAGUCGGAUUAGCUUGUUGGUGAGGUAAUGGCUCACCAAGGCGACAAUCCGUAGCUGGUCUGAGAGGACGAUCAGCCACACUGGGACUGAGACACGGCCCAG
rnacentral:rRNA from 1 species